rnacentral:rRNA from 1 species
UACGUAGGGGGCGAGCGUUGUCCGGAUUUAUUGGGCGUAAAACGCUUGUAGGUGGCUACGUCAAGUCGGACGUGAAAUCUCCCGGCUUAACUGGGAGGGGUCGCUCGAUACUGGCGAGCUCGAGGCAGGUAGGGGGAAGCGGAAUUCCCGGUGUAGUGGUGGAAUGCGUAGAUAUCGGGAGGAACACCAGUGGCGAAGGCGGCUUCCUGGACCUGUUCUGACACU